CAAAAAUCUAUAGAUGGUUAUAAAAGGUUUUUACUUCUUUAAAAUUUCUCAGUCAUCAUUUUGGCAAAGUAAGUAAUUUAUGGUAAUCUGGAAUUCCAAAAUCAAACUUCAGUUUCAAAAUUGUCUUUCCUAAUGACUGGCUUUUUUAAUGAAUCAGAGGGCUCCUGAAAACGUCCAAAAAGGAGGUAAGCAGGAUUAUUUGACAUCUUCAGGUACAUGGGAUUGCCAAAAUGUGUUCAACCUUCUUCAGGUUAUAUUUUUGUGAGUAAUAUUAAUAUAUAUAUUCCUAAAUUGUAUGGAAUUUAUAAAAUUCUAAUGUCUAUAUGCUAUCAAUUAUAAUUAUGGUUAUUAUGCUAAGUUAUUGUAAACCACAAAAAUAACGAAAUUUUCUUGUCAGUGCUAUGCACCUAAUUUGGAAAAACAACUGGUAUACAAGAAGAUAUAAGUCUAAUGUUAAUGAAGCAUGGACUCAUGGAGAACCAAGAUGG